rnacentral:rRNA from 1 species
UACAUGUGGGGCAAGCGUUGUUCGGAAUUACUGGGCGUAAAGGGUGCGUAGGUGGCUUGUUAAGUCAGGGGUGAAAGUUUUCGGCCCAACCGGAAAAUGGCCUUUGAUACUGGCGAGCUCGAGUGCGUGAGGGGUAACCGGAACGAGCAGUGUAGCGGUGAAAUGCGUAGAUAUUGCUCGGAAGGCCAACGGCGAAGGCAGGUUACUGGUGCGCAACUGACACUGAGGCACGAAAGCGUGGGGAGCAAACAGG